rnacentral:rRNA from 1 species
UACGUAGGGACCGAGCGUUGUCCGGAUUCAUUGGGCGUAAAGAGCUCGUAGGCGGCCACUCAAGUCGAAUGUGAAACCUCGAGGCUUAACCUCGAGCCUGCAUUCGAUACUGGGCGGCUAGAGUCUGGUAGGGGGAUCUGGAAUUCCUGGUGUAGCGGUGGAAUGCGCAGAUAUCAGGAGGAACACCCGUAGCGAAGGCGGCACUCUGGGCCGAUACUGACGCUGAGGAGCGAAAGCGUGGGGAGCGAACAGG